rnacentral:rRNA from 1 species
UACGGGGGGAGCAAGCGUUGUUCGGAUUUACUGGGCGUAAAGGGCGCGUAGGCGGCCACCGCAAGUCGACUGUGAAAUCUCCGGGCUUAACCCGGAAAGGUCAGCCGAUACUGCGGGGCUAGAGUGCGGAAGGGGCAACUGGAAUUCUCGGUGUAGCGGUGAAAUGCGUAGAUAUCGAGAGGAACACCAGUGGCGAAAGCGGCUACCUGGCCCAUUCUUGACGCUGAGGCGCGAAAGCUAGGGGAGCAAACGGG